rnacentral:rRNA from 1 species
UUGAACGCUGGCGGCAGGCCUAACACAUGCAAGUCGAGCGCGAAAGGUUUUCGGACUGAGUAAAGCGGCGGACGGGUGAGUAACGCGUGGGAAUCUGCCCAGUAGUGGGGGACAACAGCCGGAAACGGCUGCUAAUACCGCAUACGCCCUACGGGGGAAAGGGGGGGAGCUUCGGACCUCUCGCUAUUGGAUGAGCCCGCGUCGGAUUAGCUAGUUGGUAGGGUAAAGGCCUACCAAGGCUACGAUCCGUAACUGGUCUGAGAGGAUGAUCAGUCACACUGGAACUGAGACACGGUCCAGACUCCUACGGGAGGCAGCAGUGGGGAAUAUUGGACAAUGGGGGCAACCCUGAUCCAGCCAUGCCGCGUGUGUGAAGAAGGCCUUAGGGUUGUAAAGCACUUUCAGUGGGGAGAAAGGUUUGUCACCUAAUACGUGAUGAAAUUGAUGUUACCCACAGAAGAAGCACCGGCUAACUCCGUGCCAGCCGCCGCGGUAA